GAUGAACGCUGGCGGCGUGCCUAACACAUGCAAGUCGAGCGAACGGACGCGGCGCUUGCUUUUCUGAUGUUAGCGGCGGACGUGUGAGUCACACGUGUAUAACCUACCUAUAAGACUGGUAUCACUUCGGGAAACCGGAUCUAAUACCGGAUAAUAUUUUGAACCGUAUGGUUCAAAAGUGAAAGACGGUCUUGCUGUCACUUCUCGAUGCAUCUGCGCUGCAUUAGCUAGUUGGUAGGGUAACGGCCUUCCAAGGCAACGAUGCAUAGACGACGUGAGAGACGGGUCGGCGACACUGGAACUGAGACGCCGUCCUGACGCCUACGAGAGGCAGCAGUCGCGUAUCUGACGCAGUAGGCGAAAACCUGACGGAGCAACGCCGAGUGAGUGAUGAAGGUCUUCGGAUCGUGAAGCUCUGUUAUUAGGGGAAAACAUAUGUGUAAGUAACUGUGCAGAUCUUGACGGUACCUAAUCAAAAAGCCACGGCUAACUACGUG
rnacentral:rRNA from 1 species